rnacentral:rRNA from 1 species
AGGUAGUUUUCAUAAAAUAAACCUAUUUAUAAUGGCGGCUUAUCAAUUCUAUAGAGGAACUUGUUUUUUAAUCGACAACCCACGUUAUUUUUUACUAACUUUAAAGCUUAUAUACCGCCAUCUAAAGAAUAAUCUAAAAAUCUAUUCAAAAUAACUUUAUUAAAAAGUUAGGUCAAGGUGUAGCUAUAAGUAAGGUAAACAUGAGUUACACUAAAAAUUUAUUUAAGAAUAAAAAAUUUAAAAAUUUUUUUCAAAAAGGAUUUAUUAGUAAUUUUAUAAAAAUAAUUUUUAUGAACUAAUUAAUAUAAGUGC